AGGGGUAUAGCUUAGUGGUGGAGUGCAUGCUUAGCAUGCAUGAGGUCCUGAGUUCAAUUCCCAGUAACUCCA
rnacentral:tRNA from 1 species